AUGCCCGCUUUUAUHAAACHUCGCUUUUUCCCCCCAAAAAAAAAAAGGUCCCGCCUGCCCUGUGACUAUAAGUUUAACGGCCGCGGUUUUUUAACCGUGCGAAGGUAGCGUAAUCACUUGUCUUUUAAAUGAAGACCUGUAUAAUGGCAUCACGAGGGCUUAGCUGUCUCCCCUCUCCAGUCAAUGAAAUUGACCUCCCCGUGCAGAGGCGGGGAUAAUUACAUAAGACGAGAAGACCCUGUGGAGCUUUAGACCUAAAGUAACUCACGUUUAAUAUCCUGGCCCAACAGUAAAAACUUAGUGAUGGUUACCGAAGUGUCUUUGGUUGGGGCGACCGCGGGGUAAAACACAACCCCCAUGUGGACCGGGGAUAUAUCCCUAACACUCAGAGCCUCUACUCCAAGUAACAGAAAUUCUGACUUUUCUGAUCCGGUAUAACCGAUCAACGGACCGAGUUACCCCAGGGAUAACAGCGCAAUCCUCUCCCAGAGCCCAUAUCGACGAGGGGGUUUACGACCUCGAUGUUGGAUCAGGACAUCCUAAUGGUGCAGCCGCUAUUAAGGGUUCGUUGCCUGUUUAGAAAUACACCGAGUAAUCCA
rnacentral:rRNA from 1 species